rnacentral:rRNA from 1 species
UACAGAGGUCUCAAGCGUUGUUCGGAUUCAUUGGGCGUAAAGGGUGCGUAGGCGGCGCGGUAAGUCGGGUGUGAAAUCUCGGAGCUUAACUCCGAAACUGCAUUCGAUACUGCCGUGCUUGAGGACUGGAGAGGAGACUGGAAUUUACGGUGUAGCGGUGAAAUGCGUAGAUAUCGUAAGGAAGACCAGUGGCGAAGGCGGGUCUCUGGACAGUUCCUGACGCUGAGGCACGAAGGUCAGGGAGACGCAAACG